rnacentral:rRNA from 1 species
CCUACGGGAGGCAGCAGUGAGGAAUAUUGGUCAAUGGACGAGAGUCUGAACCAGCCAAGUAGCGUGAAGGAUGACUGCCCUAUGGGUUGUAAACUUCUUUUAUAUGGGAAUAAAACGUUCCACGUGUGGGAUUUUGUAUGUACCAUAUGAAUAAGGAUCGGCUAACUCCGUGCCAGCAGCCGAGGUAAUACGGAGGAUCCGAGCGUUAUCCGGAUUUAUUGGGUUUAAAGGGAGCGUAGGUGGAUUGUUAAGUCAGUUGUGAAAGUUUGCGGCUCAACCGUAAAAUUGCAGUUGAAACUGGCAGUCUUGAGUACAGUAGAGGUGGGCGGAAUUCGUGGUGUAGCGGUGAAAUGCUUAGAUAUCACGAAGAACUCCGAUUGCGAAGGCAGUUCACUGGACUGCAACUGACACUGAGGCUCGAAAGUGUGGGUAUCAAACAGGAUUAGAUACCCUUGUAGUC